rnacentral:RNase_P_RNA from 1 species
AGAGUCAAUUGGGCAAUCGCCGCCUCUUUAUUGAGGGGGAGGAAAGUCCGGACUCCAUAGGGAGGGGUGAUGGCUAACGGCCAUCCACGGCGACGUGAGGAAUAGGGCCACAGAGACGAGCGUAUUUAGUUACGGUGAAACGCGGUAACCUCCACCCGGAGCAAUCCCAAGUAAGCAGGCGAUGAGGCGUCCCGCUGAGUCUGCGGGUAGGGAGCUUGAGCCGUCAGGUAACUGCCGGCCUAGAGGAAUGAUUGCCCCUAGAUUGAAAAGUCUAGGCGACAGAAUCCGGCUUAUCGAUUGACUCUGCAC